UACGAAGGGGGCUAGCGUUGCUCGGAAUUACUGGGCGUAAAGCGCGUGUAGGCGGGUCUUUAAGUCAGGGGUGAAAUGCCAAGGCUCAACCUUGGAACUGCCUUUGAUACUGGAGAUCUUGAGUCCGGGAGAGGUGAGUGGAAUUGCGAGUGUAGAGGUGAAAUUCGUAGAUAUUCGCAAGAACACCGGUGGCGAAGGCAGGUCCCUGGGCCGAUACUGACGCUGAGGAGCGAAAGCGUGGGGAGCAAACAGG
rnacentral:rRNA from 1 species